AUGAACGCUAGCUACAGGCUUAACACAUGCAAGUCGAGGGGCAGCAUGGUCUUAGCUUGCUAAGGCCGAUGGCGACCGGCGCACGGGUGAGUAACACGUAUCCAACCUGCCGUCUACUCUUGGACAGCCUUCUGAAAGGAAGAUUAAUACAAGAUGGCAUCAUGAGUCCGCAUGUUCACAUGAUUAAAGGUAUUCCGGUAGACGAUGGGGAUGCGUUCCAUUAGAUAGUAGGCGGGGUAACGGCCCACCUAGUCUUCGAUGGAUAGGGGUUCUGAGAGGAAGGUCCCCCACAUUGGAACUGAGACACGGUCCAAACUCCUACGGGAGGCAGCAGUGAGGAAUAUUGGUCAAUGGGCGAGAGCCUGAACCAGCCAAGUAGCGUGAAGGAUGACUGCCCUAUGGGUUGUAAACUUCUUUUAUAAAGGAAUAAAGUCGGGUAUGGAUACCCGUUUGCAUGUACUUUAUGAAUAAGGAUCGGCUAACUCCGUGCCAGCAGCCGCGGUAAUACGGAGGAUCCGAGCGUUAUCCGGAUUUAUUGGGUUUAAAGGGAGCGUAGAUGGAUGUUUAAGUCAGUUGUGAAAGUUUGCGGCUCAACCGUAAAAUUGCAGUUGAUACUGGAUAUCUUGAGUGCAGUUGAGGCAGGCGGAAUUCGUGGUGUAGCGGUGAAAUGCUUAGAUAUCACGAAGAACUCCGAUUGCGAAGGCAGCCUGCUAAGCUGCAACUGACAUUGAGGCUCGAAAGUGUGGGUAUCAAACAGGAUUAGAUACCCUGGUAGUCCACACGGUAAACGAUGAAUACUCGCUGUUUGCGAUAUACUGCAAGCGGCCAAGCGAAAGCGUUAAGUAUUCCACCUGGGGAGUACGCCGGCAACGGUGAAACUCAAAGGAAUUGACGGGGGCCCGCACAAGCGGAGGAACAUGUGGUUUAAUUCGAUGAUACGCGAGGAACCUUACCCGGGCUUAAAUUGCAGAUGAAUUACGGUGAAAGCCGUAAGCCGCAAGGCAUCUGUGAAGGUGCUGCAUGGUUGUCGUCAGCUCGUGUCGUGAGAUGUUGGGUUAAGUCCCGCAACGAGCGCAACCCUUGCUAUUAGUUGCUACGCAAGAGCACUCUAAUAGGACUGCCGUUGACAAAACGGAGGAAGGUGGGGAUGACGUCAAAUCAGCACGGCCCUUACGUCCGGGGCUACACACGUGUUACAAUGGGGGGUACAGAGGGCCGCUACCACGCGAGUGGAUGCCAAUCCCAAAAACCUCUCUCAGUUCGGACUGGAGUCUGCAACCCGACUCCACGAAGCUGGAUUCGCUAGUAAUCGCGCAUCAGCCACGGCGCGGUGAAUACGUUCCCGGGCCUUGUACACACCGCCCGUCACACCAUGGGAGCCGGUAAUACCCGAAGUCAGUAGUCUAACCGCAAGGAGGACGCUGCCGAAGGUAGGAUUGGCGACUGGGGUG
rnacentral:rRNA from 1 species